CUGAAAGAAAAAGCAGAACACGCCAUUAACAAGGCCAGAACCCCGACUGCCAUUCCUGGACGGGAGCCACCAACACCCGCAAAAUCGAUCGAUUCAGCCUGGGACGCUUGCUGUUUCCGAACCUCUGUUGCCACCUAUCCCAGUUUGGAGGGAAUUUUCCCAAGGAUGGCUUCAUGACCACACUGCUGUAGGAAGCCAUAAGUUGGAAAUCAACGGGCCUGGCUUGAAGUGUGGCCUUAGGCAACACCGUUCUCAUCUACAUCUGGAUUCUCCAACAAAGCUGGGAAAAAAACGAUCCAAGGGAAGCCAAUCAAAGAGCCUGGAUUGCCAGUCUUCCCUGCUGCGAUCUCCGCCUGCGAUUCUCCAGGGGAAAUGUCCUUUAUGACCUUACAGCUCACCUGGAACCCUCCACCUAGGGCCCGAGGCAGCACAUCCUCUCGUGCCCGGGCACUUCCAGGCAUUGCCCUGAGUACUGGGCACUUCACACACUGGGCUGGACCACUCACCGGAGUGAAUAAGGAGGCUUGAAGCUGUCCUGGUACAACAAUGGAAUGAAGCGCUAGUCUCAGCUCAGCCACUUGGAAUAUGACUCCAACUCUCACAUUUCUGUGGGGUGUAUUCAUUUCAGCUUUUUGUUUGGUGCUAUGGGGAGGGAAGGGCCCUCAGACUGGCAUCCUUUUUCUUCCAGGAUGAUGAUGAAUAUUAUGAAAGUCUGAGGCUGUUUUUAAAAUUCUGCUCUAAUACGUUGUUUUUCUGUGCAUAAGAAUUAUGUAUUCUUAGCUGCAAAACUGGAAUCCGUCUGCUCAUGGAUAAACUUCUGGCCAUGAGCAUGUACCUUUCAGGUAACUUCCCUAUCAGAGAAGCUUACAAUCAAGAAUCCUACUUCCCUAGUUCCCUACACAGGCCCAGGAGGCUUUUGGUGGUAUCCGCUGGACUUUUGAAAAUUAGGGAAUUUCUCCUACUCUGAACUCUACCAGGAAUCACAUAUCAAGAUCUCAGUACCAUCUUACCUAGACCCUCUUGACCUCUUCUUUCUCCAUAAUCUCUUUCUAGCUCAUGUCAUCCAGACUCGAGGGCCCCAUUCUCAGUUUGACACUGAGGACACCCACGCUAUUAUCUCUGGCUGUGACCUUUCCCACGAGCUCCAAAUUCACACCAUCUUUUGACGUCUCCACUUAACUUCCCCAUUUCGGUGUCUCAAACUUGACAAUUCAAAACAGAACUCCCUCCCACUUCCAAACUGGUUUCCUACCCAACUUUCCCAGGCCCCCAGUUUCUCAAGUCAGAAAUCUAUGAGUCAUCCUUGAUGUUUGCCAUUCCCUCAUCCCUCCCAUCCAACCCAUUCGUAGGCUCUUGGGAAUCUACCUCCAAAAUGUCUCUGGAAUCCAUCCUCUUCUCUCCACCUCCACUGCCAACCGCCUCUCACCUGCAAUAGCUCUGAGGCAGCCUCCCCACUUCUUCUGCCUCCCAUCCCCACCCCUACAUAUUCCUGUCCUAUCUCCACCCAGAAGCAAACAAGAUCUUCUUUAACUGUAAAUUGGUUCACAUCUCCCCUGCUUAGAACUUUCCAAGGCCUUGACAUUAUUCCAAGAUCAAGACCAAACUCUUGACUGUGGCCAGUGAGACCUUUCCUGAACUGGUCCUACCUACCUCUGCAAACCCAUCUAGUGACACCUUUCCCUUAGCUUGCCUCCAACAUAGUGUAUUAGUUUCCUAUGGCUGCUGCAGGAAAUGACACAAAUUAUCCCCUUAUAGUCGUGGAAGCCAGAAGUCCAAAAUGGGCUGGAGCCAAGGCAGGCAGGGCUAUGCUGCUUGCAGAGGUUCUAGGGGAGAAUCUAUUUCUUGGUCUUCUUUGGCUUCUAGAGCUGCAAUCCUUGGCUCAUGGCGCCUUCCUCCACCUUCAGAGCCAGCAGUGUAGCAUCUUACUUGGUGAUCACAUUUCUUUCUUCUCCAGUGUCAUAUUUCCCUUUGCUUUACAUUGUCCUUUAAAUUUCUCUUAUAAGGAAACUGCGAUUGCAUUUAAGACCCACCCAGGUAAUCCAAGAUGAUCUUCCCAUCUCAAGACCCUUAACUGAAUCCCACCUCCAAAGUCCCUUUUGCCAGGUAAGGCAACAUUCCCAGGUCCCGGGGAUUAGGAUCUACAUAUGUUCGGGAGUGACUAUUGAGCCUACCAUGCAUACCACGCUCCUUCCCUCACCAGGGUCUUUGUACCUCUUGUCCCCCAUUACUAGAAUGCUCCCUUCUUCCCUCUCACUCUUUGCUUGGCCAUAUCUUUCUCAUUCUUGGGGACACAGCUUACCUGGCACCUCCUCAGACAACCUGUCUCGGACCAGCCCCUUAACAGCCUGAAGACUUUUUUUUUUUUUUUUUUGAUACGGAGUCUUGCUCUGUUGCCCAGGCUAGAGUGCAGUAGUGUGAUCUCAGCUCACUGCAACCUCUGCCUCCCGGGUUCAAGCAGUUCUCCUGCUUCAACCUCCCAAGUAGCUGGGAUUACAGGCACCUGCUACCAUGCCCGGCUAAUUUUUGUAUUUUUAGUAGAGACAGGGUUUCACCAUGUUGGCCAGGCUGGUCUCGAACUCCCGACCGCAAGUGAUCUGCCCACCUUGGCCUCCCAAAGUGCUGAGAUUACAGGCAUGAGCCACAGUGCCUGGAUGAAGACUUUUUCAUGUCUUUUUCAACUGACUUGUUUUCUGCCUGCCUCUCCCUCCACCCUCACCUAAGCACCUUGAGGACCAUGUCUGUUUUGUCAAUCCACUGGUCAUCCUAAUAUAACUGGUUAAUAAAUCAUUGCUGAAUUUAUUUAUUUAUUUAUUUAUGACAGUCUCGCUGUGUCGCCCAGGCUGGAGUGCAGUGGCAUGAUCUCAGCUCACUGCAACCUCCUCCUCCAAGAUUCAAGCGAUUCUCCUGCCUCUGCUUCCCAAGUAGCUGGGAUUACAGGCGUGCGCUGCCACACCCAGCUAACUUUUUUUUUUCUUCUUCUAUUUUUAGAGACAGGGUUUUGCCAUGUUGGCCAGGCUGGUCUUGAACUUCUGACCUCAAGUGAUCCAGCUGCCUCAGCCUCCCAAAGUGCUGAGAUUACAGGCAUGAGCCACCAUGCCUGGCCUCAUUGCUGAAUGAAUUUAAAGAUGACAAACUGACAACCCAAUACAGUGCUAUGCAAAUGGGCUGCUGUGUGUACUCCUCAGCGAAAGGAGACUCAACACCACCUUCCUCCUGAUCUGCUGUAUCAGAAACAAUGGUCUGGGCAGAACAGGGCACCAAUCACAAAGAAAACCCAUAGACACACUCCCAUGCAGGGUCCAGGGAGAUGCCACACCACCGAGUCAGCCAGACGCAAAACCUUUCAAGGAAGUAGGAUUUUACCUUGCUGGGUGACCACCUGAUCCCUUGCUUAUUAAACGCAGCUAAGCACUAUUUUAACACAAGGCCUGCAUGAGAGGCUGCUCGCUGUGGAGAGCCAGCCAUAAGUAAACCUUCUCCAUCCUUCUGUUAAAGACUCCUGGAGCCACUUUGAGGGAAUCGAGGGGGGCCAAGGGGCCUUUUCACAUGUGUUGCAGCCUUUUAGGCUGGGUACGGGGAGGCUCCUGCACAGCUGAAAACUUCAC
rnacentral:lncRNA from 10 species